rnacentral:tRNA from 1 species
GCUCAGUUGGGUUGGGAGAGCGUUAGACUAUAGAUCGAAAGGUCCUUGGAUCGAUCCCGGGAUUAGGCA